CUGCACCUACGGGACGCAGCAGUGGGGAAUAUUGCACAAUGGGGGGAACCCUGAUGCAGCGACGCCGCGUGAGUGAAGAAGUAUUUCGGUAUGUAAAGCUCUAUCAGCAGGGAAGAUAAUGACGGUACCUGACUAAGAAGCCCCGGCUAACUACGUGCCAGCAGCCGCGGUAAUACGUAGGGGGCAAGCGUUAUCCGGAUUUACUGGGUUUAAAGGGUGCGUAGGCGGACUGUUAAGUCAGCGGUAAAAGCCCGGGGCUCAACCCCGGCGAGCCGUUGAAACUGGCUGUCUUGAGAUGUCGAGAG
rnacentral:rRNA from 1 species